ACGGGCCAGACUCCUACGGGAGGCAGCAGUGGGGAAUCUUGCACAAUGGGGGAAACCCUGAUGCAGCGACGCCGCGUGAGCGAUGAAGCCCUUCGGGGUGUAAAGCUCUUUCGGCAGGGAAGAUUAUGACGGUACCUGCAGAAGAAGCCCCGGCCAACUACGUGCCAGCAGCCGCGGUAAUACGUAGGGGGCGAGCGUUGUCCGGAAUUAUUGGGCGUAAAGAGCUCGUAGGCGGCUUUGAAAGUCGGGUGUGAAACCUCCAGGCUCAACCUGGAGCCGCCACUCGAAACUGCAAUGGCUAGAGUCCGGUAGGGGACCAUGGAAUUCCUGGUGUAGCGGUGAAAUGCGCAGAUAUCAGGAGGAACACCAGUGGCGAAGGCGGUGGUCUGGGCCGGAACUGACGCUGAGGAGCGAAAGCGUGGGGAGCGAACAGGAUUAGAUACCCUGGUAGUCCACGCCGUAAACGUUGGGCACUAGGUGUGGGACCCUAUCGACGGGUUCCGUGCCGUAGCUAACGCAUUAAGUGCCCCGCCUGGGGAGUACGGCCGCAAGGCUAAA
rnacentral:rRNA from 1 species